rnacentral:rRNA from 1 species
UACAGAGGGUGCGAGCGUUAAUCGGAAUUACUGGGCGUAAAGGGCGCGUAGGCGGCCAACUAAGUCAGACGUGAAAUCCCUCGGCUUAACCGGGGAACUGCGUCUGAUACUGGAUGGCUUGAGUUUGGGAGAGGGAUGCGGAAUUCCAGGUGUAGCGGUGAAAUGCGUAGAUAUCUGGAGGAACACCGGUGGCGAAGGCGGCAUCCUGGACCAACACUGACGCUGAGUGAGCGAAAGCCAGGGGAGCAAACGGG